UCAGUGGUGGAAGAGACCCUCCAGAGUUGCUGCAGUGUGUGUUCUACUGGCUGUGAUCAUAGGCCUGUGGGAUUCCUAUGCCACUGUAGAGCGAGACCAGCUACAGAAUAUCUAAAUACCAGGACCACCGAGAGAGACCAGCUACAGAAUAGUCUAAAUACCAGGACCACCGAGAGAGACCAGCUACAGAAUAGUCUAAAUACCA